CAUCUACGGAGAGUUUGAUCCUGGCUCAGGACGAACGCUGGCGGCGUGCUUAACACAUGCAAGUCGAACGGUGAACCGCCUUCGGGCGGGGAUCAGUGGCGAACGGGUGAGUAACACGUGGGCAACCUGCCCCCGGCUCCGGGAUAACCCCAAGAAAUUGGGGCUAAUACCGGAUAUGACCGCUG
rnacentral:rRNA from 1 species